rnacentral:lncRNA from 1 species
UGGCCGCUAGGUGAGUAUCCCCUUUCUUGUAUAGUGGCACUAUGUUGGCAUCUCUCCAGUCUUGUGGAACUUCUCCUGUGUCAAGUGAAAACUGAAAGAUUCUUGUCAGAAUUGGUGAUAAUUCUGCAGCAGUUAUUUGCAGUAUUUUGGUUGGUAUUUCAUCUGGUCCUGCUGCUUUGUUGGUGUUAAGGUUUUUUAACAGUUUGAAUACCCCAUUUUCAGUUACUGUGAUGUCAUUC